GAUGAACGCUGGCGGCGUGCUUAACACAUGCAAGUCGAGCGAGAGAGUUCUUCGGAACAAGCUAGCGGCGGACGGGUGAGGAACACGUUGGCAACCUGCCUCAUAGAGGGGAAUAGCCUUCCGAAAGCAAGAUUAGUACCCCAUAAGAUUGUAGCUUCGCAUGAAGCAGCAAUUAAAGGAGCAAUCCGCUAUGAGAUGGGCCCGCGGCGCAUUAGCUAGUUGGUGAGGUAACGGCCCACCAAGGCGACGAUGCGUAGCCGACCUGAGAGGGUGAUCGGCCACAUUGGGACUGAGACACGGCCCAGACUCCUACGGGAGGCAGCAGUGGGGAAUAUUGCACAAUGGGGGAAACCCUGAUGCAGCAAUGCCGCGUGAGUGAUGACGGCCUUCGGGUUGUAAAGCUCUGUCUUCGGGGACGAUAAUGACGGUACCCGAGGAGGAAGCCACGGCUAACUACGUGCCAGCCGCCGCUGUAA
rnacentral:rRNA from 1 species